rnacentral:rRNA from 1 species
CAGCAGCCGCGGGAAUACGUAGGUGGCAAGCGUUGUCCGGAAUUAUUGGGCGUAAAGGGCUCGCAGGCGGCUUCUUAAGUCUGAUGUGAAAGCCCCCGGCUCAACCGGGGAGGGUCAUUGGAAACUGGGAAACUUGAGUGCAGAAGAGGAGAGUGGAAUUCCACGUGUAGCGGUGAAAUGCGUAGAUAUCGGAAGGAACACCAGUGGCGAAGGCGGCUACCUGGACUGAGACUGACACUGAGGCGCGAGAGCGUGGGGAGCAAACAGGAUUAGAUACCCCCGUAGUCCCUGUCUCUUAUAC